rnacentral:rRNA from 1 species
UACAGAGGGGGCAAGCGUUGUUCGGAAUUACUGGGCGUAAAGGGCGCGUAGGCGGCCUGCUAAGUCGAACGUGAAAUCCCCGGGCUUAACCCGGGAACUGCGUCUGAUACUGGAUGGCUUGAAUCCGGGAGAGGGAUGCAGAAUUCCAGGUGUAGCGGUGAAAUGCGUAGAUAUCUGGAGGAAUACCGGUGGCGAAGGCGGCAUCCUGGACCGGCAUUGACGCUGAGGAGCGAAAGCUAGGGGAGCAAACGGG